UACCCUUAAAGCAAGUUAAUUUCAUAUAUUAUAAAAUUACAAAUAAUAAAUUUAUAAUUUAGUUGUGAAAAAGUAAAAUUUAUUUUUUGUUCUUAGUAUUGAAAAAGGAGUAAAAACCAGGGUUAGUAGCCUACUAUGACCUAAGUAAAUUUUUUAAGGUAUUAAAAGCUCAAUCUCUAAACCUAAAAAACAUGGCAGUAUUUUACCCCUUGCAGAGGAACUUGAAUAUUAAUUAGAUAUUCCUCUUUCUUUCUUACUUAAUUUUUUUUUAUGUGUGGUUGUUAAAACGAGUAUAAAAUUAUAAGUUGUAAAUCAGAUGACAUGUAUAUAUAAUUAAGGUAAUUUUAGUUACAAUUAAAUAAAUUAAUAAAAAAAAUACAGGAUUUGCAAGUAUUACAGGAAUAGAGUAAGAAGAGGUUUUAAAAUGUGUUCAUAUUGUCCGUCGCUCUCAUAAAC
rnacentral:rRNA from 1 species